AAUAUGACUCUCGGCAACGGAUAUYUCGGCUCUYGCAUCGAUGAAGAACGUANCGAAAUGCGAUACUUGGUGUGAAUUGCAGAAUCCCGUGAACCAUUGAGUGUUUGAAGGCAAGUUGCGCCCAAGGCCGUUCGGUAGAGGGCACAUYUGCUUGGGCGUUAA
rnacentral:rRNA from 1 species